CAACGCUCUGGGGAUUCGUCUGUAUAGUAGGGGACGCCCAAUGGACGAAAUCCUGUUUUUGGCAAUGGCUCUGAAGAGGACCUUUGUGACACCUUCUAGAGACGUCUAGGAAGGUUACGUUAUAGAAUGGGAAAGUUUUUGGGUUUUGCAACGAAUUAGCUCUCCCCACCCCCCCACCGCACCCCCAUUCCUAGAGAUUCUCCUUUAAACUAUCUCUUAGUGCAGAGACACACUGGGCUUGAGAAAAAUGCCUCAAUCUCAACACCUGAACUCUGAAUAGAUUAGUUGAAUCCCAAUCUCUCUCUCCACCCACCAACUCUCUGGACUAGUCCAUCCUCUAAAGUGCUUUUUUCUUUUGAAUCCUAGGACUGAUUAACACUUGUGCCCUCGGGCAAAAGCGGCGAGCCAAAACACACCCAGCACACUUGUUUCUUUUAAAGCUGAAAAACUCAACCUAAUGAAACCUAGGACCCACCCACUGCCUCUAUUUUUUUCCGAGGUCCAAAACUCAAUGUUUCUUCCACUCUGCUGCUAACAGCGGUUGGUUUCCCUUUUACUUUCUAACUUGAGACUCUCAGUUCUCUUCUUCUCAGGGCAACUUCUGCCUCCUGAAAGAACACUCAGAACGGAGGUGCCUCUUCAUACAAAUCUCUCCCAGACUUAGGCCUGUAGGUGCCCCAGAAACCAGUCUCUGUCCUGAGUUCAAGCAGGAGGAACACUGGAGAAACUGCGUCAGCGAAUACCACAGGGGCUGAAUUGGCCCCCUGCGUCCUGCUCCCCGUUAGAUGGGCCAUCAACAUUCUUACGGGAAGCCCACAGAAGGGACCUGAUGCAUUUCCUGCUGUCGGCCAUCUCCACCCUGGAUGACACCCUGGUUUUAACCUGCUCCCAAGAUCUGGGCUUCAAACUUUGGACAUUCAACUGCCCUUCAACCUGGAGAACAUGGGACAACUGACUGGGAAUGACUGACUGGGACAAACACCCCUUAGAUGCCCUACUGCCAUCCCCAAACCCUACACCUCACGCCUCACCUCCUGGCAUGAACCUUCAAAUCUCUAUGACCCUUGCCAGCUCGAAGCAUUUAAGAGAUCGACGCCCCUUUUCCAACAUGCCUUUGGAAGUGACUGCUUGAAGGAGGGAUCAAGAGGGGACCCCCGAAUUUGGAAAAUCCUGGAAAGAAAAAAAUCUUCAAUUCUGCCUCAAUAAGAGACUUUGCUCCAUGUCCUUUUUUCUUAAAUGAAUUUAAGUACCAAUUGCUUGAGGUGGGAAUGAUGUGGGAAAGAUUCCUUUCUAUAUUCCUACCCCCUCCUAGUAAAUGUAAUUACCCUUUAACUCUCAAAUCCUGGUCCCUUUGUAUUCCAAUAGAAGAUCCGGGCCUGUGCCAGCCCCACCCAGAUCUGAGCCAACUUUGGGGCUACACCCAAAAGCCCCUCAGGCUAAAUCUUCCAUUAUAAAAGGGACAUGCUGGGACCCCCUCUUUACCGAGGUCCCAAAAAUGCUAGCCAUGUAGGAUCCUCUGUCCACUGGACCCUCUGUCCAGUAACCUCCUUAUCUCUACCUUCACCUAUCACCUUACUUCCACACCUAAUAAUAAACCUCUUUUAUCAUUCUA